rnacentral:misc_RNA from 1 species
UGGUUCUGGCAUNGAUGAAGAACGCAGCGAAAUGCGAUAAGUAAUGCGAAUUGCAGAAUUCCGUGAGUCAUCGAAUCUUUGAACGCACAUUGCGCCCUCUGGUAUUCCGGAGGGCAUGCCUGUUCGAGCGUCAUUAUCAACCCUCAAGCCCGGCUUGAUGUUGGACCUGGUCGCGAAAGCGACCGGUCCCAAAGAGAACGACGGCGUUGCGAGGACCCUCGGUACAAUGAGCUUUUCACGAAGCACGUACUGGAGCGGCCCCGGGACCCGGCCAUCUAUUUUUUUUUGUAAGGUUGACCUCGGAUCAGGUAGGGAUACCCGCUGA